rnacentral:rRNA from 1 species
GUGCCAGCCGCCGCGGUAAUACCGGCAGCUCAAGUGAUGACCACUCUUAUUGGGCCUAAAGCGUCCGUAGCUGGCCGCACAAGUCCGUCGGGAAAUCCGCCCGCUCAACGGGCGGCCGUCCGGCGGAACCUGUGUGGCUUGGGACCGGGAGGCCUGAGGGGUACGAUCGGGGUAGGAGUGAAAUCCUGUAAUCCCGCUCGGACCGCCGAUGGGGAAACCACCUCAGGAGAACGGAUCCGACAGUGAGGGACGAAAGCUAAGAUCGCGAACCGGAUUAGAUACCCUGGUAGUCU